rnacentral:misc_RNA from 1 species
GAUGAAGAACGUAGCGAAAUGCGAUACUUGGUGUGAAUUGCAGAAUCCCGUGAACCAUCGAGUCUUUGAACGCAAGUUGCGCCCGAAGCCACUAGGCCGAGGGCACGCCUGCCUGGGCGUCACACGCCGUUGCCCCCCCAUCUACUCCUUCGGGAUUGCGGGGGGGCGGAUGAUGGCCUCCCGUGCGCCUAGCCGCGCGGUUGGCAUAAAUACCAAGUCCUCGGCGACGCACGCCACGACAAUCGGUGGUUGCGAAACCUCGGUUGCCCGUCGUGUGCGUUCGUCGCGCAUCGAGGGCUCGAAAAAAUGCUCGGCUCCGGCUGGGCUUUCAACGCGACCCCAGGUCAGGCGGGGUUACCCGCUGAAUUUAAGCAUUUCAAUAAGCGGAGGA